rnacentral:antisense_RNA from 1 species
CUUCAGCGAGCCGAGCCAGAGCGGUGCGGCCGCGUCCCGGCCCUGGCCGUAGCUGGCCAGCAGCGCCUGCACCUC